GUAUACUCCAUCUGCCUUGUAAAAAAUCAACCUAAUACUGGAUGUGACACAUCCUAGUACUAUGAUUCGUAGUAUGUCAAGAUUCAUAGUACUAGGAUGUGUCACAUCCAGUACUAGAUUCGUUUUUUGUGGGACGGAGGGACUAGGUAA
rnacentral:misc_RNA from 1 species